GAACCUAAAGCACAAAAUACUCUGUGGGUCAAAGUUAAGGUUACUAGACAGUAAUGAAAACAGCAUUUUUACCCUCAAUUACAUGGACAAGACAGGAUUGCUGUGCAGCCACAGCUGUUUGUCUCAGGGCUGUGAUGGAUGUUGUCACUUAGCAACCACUGCCAUUUGUGUUUUAACUGCAGCUUUUUUGUUGUUGGCACGUAAUCAGAGUUGUAAUCACGAGAUCAGUCCCAUGGAAGGUGUUUGUUAUCAAGAGUGAUGGGUUUUAGGACUCGCCUGAGCCCCAGCCUAAAUCAGAAAAUUUCAGGUGUGAUGGCUAAUGCAGCUUAAUAAGGGUUUGUUUAGGAGCUGGCUUGGCUGGGCCAAGUCAUGUUUCAAGAUGUGCAGCCCGCAUUCACCAUCUGCCAGCCCUGGCUCUGCAGCUCCUUGGUGCUGGUCCCAGCCUGGUUUGAGGCCAAGGCUCUGAGAGCAGAAGGGAGGGACCAGCCUGGGCAAGCCUGGAUGUCUGUGUGCACCAGAUCCUGCUCCCUUCUGCUGCCCAGCCCGAGAGCCCAGGGAGCGUGGGCUCAGUGGAGACUGGAAAUGUGAGGAGUGAAAGAUAAUGAGAUGGGAGAACUGAAGGUUGAAGGUCUCUGCCUCUUGAGGUUAAUUCUCACCUACCUUGCAUUGACAAUGAGGGAAAAGGGCCAGACCUGUGACAGCUCAAGCUCUAACACUCUGCAGGAACUGGUUAAGGUCUUGGUUUAACACCUGAUCUGAUCUCAUCUAACUAAGAAAUGUCUCUCAAAGAGGUGGGUGCCAGACAUUGGGUUCCUGCCUGGCAUGGAGGUUAAUAACCAGGCAAGUGGGGAGGAACUCGGUUUGCAUGGGCUUGUUCUGGAGGCAGAGGUGUGAAGUAUCCUUGGAGCCCUGCUAUAUGUUCAUUAUUAUGUAAAUAAGCACUUUCAGCUGGUGUGCUCUGAGCAGAGAGUGAGUAUUGGUACCACGGAUAGAAACAUUGUUUUCUUUAAUUCCAUUUUGCUUUAACUGAAGCUGUUGUGCAAUUGCACCUGUAGCUCUGCAGGGACCCUUGGAGAGGGCUGCUCAUCCCCCUUCCAUCGGGGGGUUCAGGAGAGCCCCCAGGUUGUGUUUCCUCACAGUGGCACAUCCUCAGCUCUGCUCUGCCUUGUCCAGAUGAACACACUGCUCCUCCAAACCCCAUUUCUGUGUGUGCUGCUCCAAGGUGAAAGGCAGGAGCUGUCCUACCUCUGGAGCAGCCCGAGGUCUGGCCCUGCUGAAGUGCUGCUUUAUUCUCAGCAGAAGACAAAACCCACUGCUCUGAGGGGAAAAGGCACAGACCACAGCGCUGCUGCUGCUGCUGCAGGAGGAUAAAGGAUGCUCAGCAACACCUCAGUGCUGGGAAAGAACCCACCAUGGUUUGAUCUGCUGCUAAAGGUACUGCUUCCUUUGGGGUUUUUCCUAGGUUGCAGAGAGCUUCUUAGCACAUGGCAAGAUACUGGAGCAAGUUGCAAACUGCACUCUUCCAUAGGUUUUUAAAAAACUGGCAAUUUUUUCUCAGAAAAUCAUGUUACCAUUCAUACUAUGUCUGCUGGUUUCUAAUUGUUACUGAAGGUAAUCACAGAUCAAAUUUAUCUUGAAAAACCUUUAAGUGUAAGUUUCUCUCAAAAAGUUGGAAACUGAGUACUUGAAAAAAGAAUCAGCAAAAUGGACUUGCUUCUGGCUUCAAUUAAAACCAAAGUCAGCAUGUUGGUGUCACUGCUGAGAUCAAACAAGUCUGUGAUCUACAGGAGAAAAUUUGUAAUGCCAAGGAUGAUCAGCUUUUGACUCCUUAAAUGCCACAUUCUGCUCUAGACCUCAAAAUGCACAAGGAGGUGAGAGCUCUGUUUAUAGAAUAAAUACAGAAAGGUCAACACAAGUGUCCCUUAAAACCAGUCUCCAUCAGUUGUAGCUGCUCUGGGUCUAAAAGGAGCCUGCAACAGCUUGUUUUCAGUCACUCUUUUGUUUUUUUAAAUGCUUCCUUAUGUAGGCAUGGUCUAGUGCUUUCUUAAAAGGCAACAAUUUUUAAAGAAAAAGAACAAAUACCAUUCUUAAUGUUUUUACUUGGAAAGAGAAAACGGUUUAUUGGAAACUACACUUUUUUACAAAAAAAUUCAUCAGUAUUAAAGCAAAGAUUUUCUAACCCAUUUAACAGAUAACAAAACCAUCCUUCUCCUCCAGAAGAAAACUGCUUGAGCACUGCUCCCUCAGAGCAAAAGCUGGGUUCAGUAACAGUCAACUUCAUUAUCCUCUAUGGUGCCCACAGCAGCAAGGAUGUCCUGUAAGAGGGACUGAGGGCUUUCCUCCACAUGGUCACUACUUUUAUUUAGCUCAUCAUGCAGCUCCAGUAAGUCUAUUGCUCCCAAAGCUAACAUCAUGCUCUCUGGAUCUUGGAAAUCCACCCCAACAUCACCAUCCACGGGGAAGCUCUGAGCCAGAGAACCCUCUCUCAGUGUCCUCUGUAACCAGGCAAUGCCACGUCCUGCAGGUGAAUCUUCAAUCUCCUGUGGAUUCUCCAAAGUACUCGUGGGGUAGAAAUGACCUCUCAAGCCAACCAGCACAUCACAGGCUCUCUGCCCCACGGGUUUGUCGCAGUCACACAAAGAUCCAAACAAAAACCCAAACAGCUUUGCUUGACAAAACACCUGCAGCACCUCGUUCUGAGGGGUGGAACUUGUCACUGCAGAGGAGACAGGAGCAUAGGGACACGGGGAAAGCUGGCAAAUGGUCUGACUACAGAAAACUUCAACCAGCUCCAAACCACCAAGUCUGACUUCCCAGUCUAAGUCAUGCUCCACAGUCUGGAUGACUCUAGAGACAAACUGCUCUGUAUCUUCCAGCUGACCUGUGCAGCCUUCUCUCAGCCACUUGGUGAAGAUGCUGAUCACAGCCCUCCUGGGAAAGCCCUCUGAGUCUGUUGACAAGAUUUCCUGAAGCUUUGCUACAAUGCUCUAGAUGCAAAAAGACAAAAGAGAAAGUCUCAGUGAGUGGAGGAACACGCAAAGAAACAAAAACAGCAGAGGUGAAAAAUCUCAUUACUGGUUGUGCAACCUGCCUGCAUGAGCAGAUAACUUGUGAAGUUAUAAGCAGUACAGCAGUAAACUGAUGGGAAUUGCUCAUGCAGAAAAGGUUAUCCUACCUCUUUGUUAUAUUGAUUCCCUGUGACAGGUGACUCUGGAGCAAAGCAAGUAAAGGGGGCCAGGUGUCCCACAGCAGUCACGGCGCUCGCUCGCACGUAGCUCUCUGGGUCCUCCAGCAGGUUUUCUGUGAGCCUCAGCACCUCUGAGGACAGGAGACACUGCCUGAACUCCUUCUGGUCUGUAAACAACACAGAAAUCCAAGGAGGUGGGACUUUAUUCCCCCUGAGCAUGAAGCUGUUUCCAAGACAAAGUCCUUUGCCUCAUACAAGGAUGGCUGCUGCCUGCAGGGACCAGGCAGAUGUUCUGUGUCAGGCUCCCCCUCUCCCAGCAGCUUUUAGUAAAGUCCUGACAGACACUGGAACUUGGAAAAUUGCACUUAGAGUUGUUUUAGCAGCAAGAAAAAACUUUCUGCAGGCAAGUGGGGACAUGGUUCCAGCCUCAUCAAAUUUAUGCCUUUGCUUAAAGGAAGAAAAAAUAGUCCUCCUUUCCUGUUGUCAGGCAUAUGGCAGAGAAAACAAAAGUAACUGCAGCACUGAGAGGGGCUGCAGGGUAAAGUGCUAAUGCAGCUGAGCAUGUUAGAUACUUCCUUUGUGACCUGGGGACAACAGCAGUUGAUAACAUUCCCCUCCCUUCCAACACUGCAGAGCUACUGUAAGAAAACUAGCAUCGCCUCAGUGCUACCUGCUGCAAGGCCUGAGCUAUCAGUAAAGUAGAAAAUCAGUAAUUAACCCAAAGCAUAUAAAGCAGGUCUAGGCUUUUAGCCUCCUAAAGGCCAGCCCCCAGCCUGUUGAAAGAAACCAGACUUCGGUGCAGAGCAAACUGAAAACUGGAAAGUGUUAUCUGCCAUUAAGCACUGUCACCUGCCUUGACAGACAUGUCUCAACAGCCCUCAGUUUGACUCACCAAAACUGUCAGUAAGGCAGGCACAGCAAUCUGAGUUCAACAGAAAAAACAGGCCCUCCAGUUACAGGUCAGAAGAUGCUUCACCAGCCUGACUGACUCUCACAGCGUUAAAAGAAAUACUCCUGAAAUCUGAACUGGUAAAUCUUUGCACCUACCUCCCAAGCACUUAACCAUGGAAGUGAGGAACUCCAGGGAAGAAUCUCUUACUUCCCAGCAAGGACUGCACAAACGUUUCUGCAGCACCACCAACACAUCUGUAAAAGGCAAGUGACAAACCUGAAUGGACAUGAAAGGCAACAAACCUCACUGAAACACUCACUGUACAACCUGUGCAUCACUUAAUCUCAUACAAUCCCUUUUGCUGCUGCUGGGUGCUUCUUCCAGAGUUCUGCAAAGCAUUAUUUGGGCAGCUAAACUUAAAUUCAACAUAAUUGUGAACAAGUGAAUCCAGUUCCAUUAGCUGCUGUUUGCCCCAGCUGGAACAGCUUCAUUACCUUCCAAAAUCUUCUCAGUUUGUUGCCACUGACUGUUGGAGGAGGACAGUUCCUUCAAGUGCACCAACCACCUGGAUGUAGCUUGAAAGGUUUUCUUUAGAACCUGAAGCAAUAUAAAGCAGAUUGACUUUACUACAGGAGGAGGCAGUGUUGCCUUUAUGCUUUAAAGGUAAAAUUCAUUUCAGCCUCAAACUUACAGAGAAACUCUCAGAGUAAACAAGUGCAUACGACUCCUUAUUAAGAAGCCAACCACAAAUAAAUGGUGUUUAAAUAACAUUUCUAACAAACACCUAGAAAAUCCCUGUGUUCAGCUUAGAUUACAAAGUUCUAGUGUCUCCAGCUUUGGAUUUGCAGCUGCCAUCAGAGUCAUUCAAACAAAACAAAGCAAAACACCCCCUUAAUAAAAAGAAUUCAAUACUUCAUGACCAUCUCAAGGGGAGUAUGCCAGUGCUACUCUUAGACAUGAUGGCUCCUGUCUUCUCAAGCACUCUCAAUGUGCUGUCAGUUACUUGCUCCUUACAAUUUUAGCUAUUUUCUGCAAGCCACCCAGGACAAGACAAGUGUCCUACACAUUCUAAUACAAAGUGUGCUAAGAAACAACUGCAGUCAGACCCUUUAUGAGAAUUACACCCCACUGGGGCAAACUAAUAGACCUGGAUCUCUCCUAGUUCUAUACUCACAGUAGGGCUGGUGUUUGGACUCUGCAGAUAUGCCAGAAGGACAUCAAACAGACUUCCUAUGAGAGUGUCACAGUCUGAAACAGAGAAAACAAACCCAAGGGACCAAUACUGAGAGAUGGAGCAGCCAAAUCCCUGCUGAAAUACACAAAGACGCAGAAUUGUAAAAUUGUUUUGGAUAAGAAAGCAAAGAUUAACUCACCUUUUUUCUCUGAGAGUGCUGCAA